rnacentral:rRNA from 1 species
AGUGAACGCUGGCGGUAGGCCUAACACAUGCAAGUCGAACGGCAGCACAGUAAGAGCUUGCUCUUACGGGUGGCGAGUGGCGGACGGGUGAGGAAUACAUCGGAAUCUACUUUUUCGUGGGGGAUAACGUAGGGAAACUUACGCUAAUACCGCAUACGACCUACGGGUGAAAGCAGGGGAUCUUCGGACCUUGCGCGAUUGAAUGAGCCGAUGUCGGAUUAGCUAGUUGGCGGGGUAAGGGCCCACCAAGGCGACGAUCCGCAGCUGGUCUGAGAGGAUGAUCAGCCACACUGGAACUGAGACACGGUCCAGACUCCUACGGGAGGCAGCAGUGGGGAAUAUUGGACAAUGGGCGCAAGCCUGAUCCAGCCAUACCGCGUGGGUGAAGAAGGCCUUCGGGUUGUAAAGCCCUUUUGUUGGGAAAGAAAAGCAGCAGGUUAAUACCCCGCUGUUCUGACGGUACCCAAAGAAUAAGCACCGGCUAACUUCGUG